rnacentral:rRNA from 1 species
ACGAACCCUGGCGGCGUGCUUAACACAUGCAAGUCGAACGGAAAGACCCUGCUUUUGUGGGGUGCUCGAGUGGCGAACGGGUGAGUAACACGUGAGUAACCUGCCCUUGACUUUGGGAUAACUUCAGGAAACUGGGGCUAAUACCGGAUAGGAGCUCCUGCUGCAUGGUGGGGGUUGGAAAGUUUCGGCGGUUGGGGAUGGACUCGCGGCUUAUCAGCUUGUUGGUGGGGUAGUGGCUUACCAAGGCUUUGACGGGUAGCCGGCCUGAGAGGGUGACCGGCCACAUUGGGACUGAGAUACGGCCCAGACUCCUACGGGAGGCAGCAGUGGGGAAUAUUGCACAAUGGGCGGAAGCCUGAUGCAGCAACGCCGCGUGCGGGAUGACGGCCUUCGGGUUGUAAACCGCUUUCGCCUGUGACGAAGCGUGAGUGACGGUAAUGGGUAAAGAAGCACCGGCUAACUACGUG